AUGCACUACGGUGCAGAAGUAGUUGAUGCCCUGCUUCCAGGAAAAGCCUCUAAGCAUCAGGUAACAUCAAAUCGUACCCCAAACCGACACAGGUGGUCAGGUAGAGAAUACCAAGGCGCUUGAGAGAACUCGGGUGAAGGAACUAGGCAAAAUGGUGCCGUAACUUCGGGAGAAGGCACGCUGGCGCGUAGGUGAAGAGACUUGCUCUCGGAGCUGAAGCCAGUCGCAGAUACCAGCUGGCUGCAACUGUUUAAUAAAAACACAGCACUGUGCAAACACGAAAGUGGACGUAUACGGUGUGACGCCUGCCCGGUGCUGGAAGGUUAAUUGAUGGGGUCAGCCGCAAGGCGAAGCUCUUGAUCGAAGCCCCAGUAAACGGCGGCCGUAACUAUAACGGUCCUAAGGUAGCGAAAUUCCUUGUCGGGUAAGUUCCGACCUGCACGAAUGGCGUAAUGAUGGCCAGGCUGUCUCCACCCGAGACUCAGUGAAAUUGAACUCGCUGUGAAGAUGCAGUGUACCCGCGGCAAGACGGAAAGACCCCGUGAACCUUUACUA
rnacentral:rRNA from 1 species